rnacentral:rRNA from 1 species
UGGGCAACCUGCCCUCAGCUCUGGGAUAACUCCAAGAAAUUGGGGCUAAUACCGGAUAUGACCGCUGACCGCAUGGUCUGGUGGUGGAAAGAUUUAUCGGCUGGGGAUGGGCCCGCGGCCUAUCAGCUUGUUGGGUGGGGUAGUGGCCUACCAAGGCGACGACGGGUAGCCGGCUGAGAGGGUGACCGGCCACACUGGGACUGAGACACGGCCCAGACCUCCGUACGGGGA